GAAGGGAGACUUAGCACAGAUUGUCCUUAGCUGUUUUACAAGGCUGGUGUGGAAGAAGAGACAAGAAACGGGCUUUGAGCCCUAGAAAGUGCUGGAAGAAUGUGAGGAGUGCCUGCCACAGAAGGUUUUAGUUCUGAUCAAGAUGUAGAACUCCCAGCUCCUUCUCCAACACCACAUCUGCCUGCACGCCGCCAUGCUCCUCACCAUGAUGAUAAUGGAUCAAACCUCUGAACUCAUCAACACAUCCAUUCUCAUGAGUGUAACUCCGAGGGAUACUCAUGGCUGCAGAGGGUAGAAAUUGAAAGCAGAACUGUCGGGUGAGUUGACUCCUUCUUUGAGAGUACCAGGUAAGGAUUUCUACCCUCCCUGCCCACCUCCCUCCCUCCCUCGCCUUCCCUCACUUCCAUUGGCCACUGGCGGUCCUUGGGAGGAUGCUGACUCUUAGAAGCAUGGCUUUAAUUAGUCCCUCUACCUGCAUAUAGCCAUCGCCGUUGUCUCUGUCUUAGAGUCCUCUCCUAUCCCAAGGACCAAGAGGCCCACCAGCAGGAAAGCCCUAAGAAAGUAUUGAAGAAUUCAACUCGGCUAGGAGGAUGGAAAUGAAUUCAAUUGUUUGAUACCUACUUUGUCGCGCGCCCAACGUCUUGCCAGCAAGAAUGACGCGCGGACACCAGGAUCCUUCUGCAGCAAAGCGUUUAUUACAUCUUGAAGAGGAAAGAGCGAGCCCCAAAAUGGCGCUGCUUAUAUACACCCUAAUGUGGCAUGUCCACGCCUGAUUGGUUGCUUACCCAUGAUCUCAUAGGCACGCCCCGGAGUGGGCAAAGACCUGGCACGAAGGCACUCUUGCACAUGCGCACAGUUAACUUCCUGAAAGGAAGUCGGCUGGCGCGGCGAAGGCUGGCGCCAUCUUGUAAUGGCGGAGGCUAUCCUGGCCUUCCACGUGGGGCGCAGUGGAAGCCAGCGCCAUCUAGCGGUGGCGAAUGUUAUUGCGGCCCUCUACACUACUUUUUGUUGUUCUAUAAGGUAUUGAGUUUUUUACUCUGGAUUCUUGAGGUAGGGUCUCACUUUCCUCCGUGGCUGGCUUGUAACGUAUUCUGUAGCCUUGGCUGGGGUCAAACUCACUGCACUCUUCCCACCUAGGCCUCCUGCGAGCUGGGAUUGCAGGCGUCUGCCAUCAUACCUUGAUUUGCAUCUAAGUUUUCUGUUUUAGAAUUAAUUCUAUAAUAAAAUACCUUGACAUGAUUCUCCAGGUCUCUAAUAUCUUUACAGUCCAGUCUUAGAACAUGAAUUAUUGGCUUAAUAUUGGCUCAAUAUUGGCUUAAUGUUGGCUCAAUAUUGGAACAAUAGUUUGUACCAUAUACUUCAUCACCCGGAAGCUCAAUUGUCAUAUCUUCUGUAGUCUGUUUUGAGUUUUUCCUAAGAGAUUUAUUUAUUUGUUUAUUUAUUUAUAUCUUGCCUCAAAUGGAUGCUACCUUAAUUAUUUUUCUGUGCUGCCGGCUUUUCUCUUCCAGUAUUUCUCUUACUAUGCUGAAUGCUUGAUUUUUCAUUUAUUUUAACAUCACUAGGACAGGUUCAUAAAGCCAUCUUUUAAAUUAGACUUGAAUCAAAUUUAUAGACGAAUCGUGUUUUAGAAACAUAUAUUUCAAUUAUUAUAAUUAUGUUCUUAGAUUUUUAUUUUUGCAAAUUCUCUGUUGUUUAUGCACCUAAAUUCAUGUGGAUCUUGCUUAGGUAAUUUCUACCGGCUUUUAAUGUUUUUGAAUUACAAAUGAGUGUUUCUCCCUAUGUAUCAUACAACUUUUCUGGUUGUGGUGGUUUAAACAAAAAUGGGCCCCACAGACUCACAGGGAGAGGCACUAUUAGGCAGUAUUGAAGUAGGUAGAGUGUUUUUGGAAGAAAUGAGUCACUGGGGCUGGGCUUUGAGGCCUUAGAAGUUCAAGGCAGGCCUAGAGGCUUAUUGUCUCUUCCUCCUGCCAGUGGAUCCAAAUGUAGAAGAACUCUUGGCUACAUCUUCAGGACCAUGCCUGCCUGCAGGCCACCAUGCUUCCUACUGUGAUGAUAAUGGCCUAAACUCUGAACUGUAAGCCAGCCCCAGUUAAAUAUGUUUCUCUUUUUUCUUUUUCCUUUUUUUUUUUUUUUCCAGAGCUGAGGACCGAACCCAGAGCCUUAUGCUUACUAGGCAAGCGCUCUACCACUGAGCUAAAUCCCCAACCCCUAACUGUUUUUCUUUGUAAGAGUUGCCAUGGCCAUGGUGUCUCUUCCCAGCAAUAGAAUCCUAAGACACGGGUAUAUGGUACACAUAGUAAUUACUGCAUAUUUUGUAUUACCGUGUACUGUGUAUUACUGUCUACUGUAGCGUUCUUUGUUUUACUAAAAACUUUAUAAUUGGAGCAGCUGGAUUUUCUAAGUGGAUAAUCUGGUAGUGAUCUAAUCUCUUCCUUAUCGUUCUAUUAUUUCUGUUUCGGGGAUAUUGGAGAUGCAUAAGAAAUGCAACAUCUAAAGCAAUCUCUCCUUCCUCUCUCACUCCUACAACAAAAAUCGCUAACCAAAGAUGAGGCUGAGACAAAGGAGGGCAGAGUGGGAGUCGAUGCCUAUCUGGGACAAAGGGCUGAAGGAAAUGCCUGGGGCUGCAGUGCCCACGGCUUCUGCAGUUCUGGUACCCGGCCAGGGGCUUGCCCAAGACAGCUGUGGGCUGAACUGAUUUUUUUUGUGGUCAGUGAUCUGCCACCUUUGUUCACCCAGUUCCUCUUCUCUUCGCCUAAACCGUGGGUCUUGGUCUUCCUCCUCAUUUACUGGACCAAGGGCCACGCCCCCUCCUCACUUACUGGGUCGGGGGCCACGCCCACUUCUCACUUACUGGGUCGGGGGCCACGCCCCCCCUCACUUACUGGGCCAAGGGCUAAGCCCACAGCCUCUAUAUGCAGGAGAGGAGUUGCAAAUAAGCAUCUCACCUCAGUGGGAACGUAUUUAUCUCUCUUACGGUACACCGGUCUCUUCUUCGUGUUAUCAAGAGCAACUCUCACUAAGGGCUCUUGUAACAGUUUCCCGAAUGCCUCCUCCUCUCCUACUAAGUUUGUAGAUUACCGUUUAAUGUAAACCGGGAUGCCCUUUACUGAGGAAUUUUCAGGACUUUCUCUAGUAGUUAGAAUAGAGCUCAAGCUCAGCCUGGCCCGGAGUCUGUCUCUUCUACUUGUUCUUGGCAUUUCUUCCACUCUGAUGCUUUUCCUUCACACAGCAGGGGCGUUUCAACCCCACGGCCUCUGGAUUGCUAUUUCCUCUUUCCCUUUCUCUUGGCAUGCCUUAGCAUCUGGUUCCACCCAGGCUUCCUUUCUGUUAUCUGUAUCUUGAUCCUGGCUGCUCUCGGCAUAUCCUGUUUCUUUACUUCAUGGAAUUUGCAAUAAUCUAUAACGAUCUUGGCUAUUCGCUCACUUAGUAAGUGUUUUUGCCUUCUGGAAUGUAGACUCUGCAGUGACUGGAAAUACCGUGUUGCUUCCUUCUGAAUCCCUGAAUCCACAUGGAAGUCAUACAACAAUUACUGAGUUAGGAUGUUACUCUAGUUUCCUUUCUGUUGCUAUGAUACAGCAUUCUGUGCAUUUCAGCUCACAGGUUACAGUCCUUGCUUCAGGGGAGUCAGGGGGAGAACCCAAGUAGAAACUUGAAACAGAAACCAUGCAGAAAAAGUGCUUGCUGGCUGGAUCUUUCAGGCGCAUGCUAAGCUAGCUUCUUACACAGCCUCUGACCACACGGAAUAUGGUGGGCUGAGUCCUCCUUGCAAUUCGCAAUCUGAUAAGCCUCUUUGUGCUGUUCAACAGUUGGGCAGGCUGGCCUGGAGAAUCCAAGACAACUUGACUUGCAAGCCUGACAUUUGACAUCUCUAGCAUGAUGGUGUUAAGGGACACACAUCUCUCUUGUCUGGUAGCUCAGGAAAAGAAAGCCCAAAGAAACCCAGAUCACAAAUACUUGGGGAAAUAUCUAGUUUACUUUUAGGAUCAGGUGAGAAUUAUCUAGGAGACCACGGUAUUAGAAGAAGGUACUGUGGUUUGUUCAUGCCCAGUCUUGAUUCUUUAAAGUGACAAGGUCAGGGAUGGGACAUUUUCUAGGUGAUGAGGUCAUGGAGCAUCUCACAGCAAGUUUCUGUCUCUUCUCAAGAGACUGAGUUAUAUCUCUCUGGGCUAAAUUAGGUCUCUGUGAACUAGAUCGAGUCCCAUGGGACUAGACCAGUCACCACAAGAACGAGUUACUAUAACUUGAACUCACCCGUUACUCUCUCUCCUUCUACGAAUCAGCUCAGAACCUUCAUCUAUGUCUCACAGACAACCUUCGGAUCCCAGUUGCCUGAUAUCAAACUCUCCUGACAACAGGACUAUGAACUAAAGCUGAACUUCGCUAACAAUAGGUUGUGAUGUCAUCUGCGGUCAAAUUUUGCGAACAGUACAUGCAACCACCAAAAACUAAUUCAGAAAUCAAAUGCGUAAUGGGUCCAAGGUGUCCCUGGAGGCACUCGCCUGGGCUGUGUCACGUGGCUUCAGUGCAGCCUUGGCUCUGAACGUGUCGCAUGUGUCUUCUGCUCUGUGCAUGUUGCCACACCAUGCGAUGUCAACAAACACUGACCAUGUCGCCUCUGCUCAGACGCAAGGGACUUUUUUUUCUUUUCUUUUCUUUUUUUCAGAGCUGGAGACCGAACCCAGGGCCUUGCACUUGCUAGCAAGCGCUCUACCACUGAGCUAAAUCCCCAACCCCUCAAGGGACUUUUACACAUUCCGAUCUUCAGUGUUUUCACGGGAGAGGAAAAGUUUCCUGCUUUUCUAGACAGGUAGUAAUUUAAUUACAGAAGACAGAGUUUCAGUAUUUCCUUGCCAGGUUCCUCAGCACGUAAGUUUCAGAUUAAUAUGCUUUUGAGUUGUAUGGUGUUUUGAUGUUCGAUUUUUAAAUUUUUCCUGUUUAAGUUGCUGACUCGAGGUUCACAAGGAAAAAAAAAAGCACUAAGCAAAUUCUGGCUCGAUAUUAAGACGCAAUCUCCAGUAAUUACUGAAUUGUCUCUGAGUUAUGUGCCUGACCUUUGUGCUAUGUAUUCACACAGUGUAGUAUUCUCAAUGUUGACGUCUAUAAAAUCAAAAUAUUAAGCAACUCUUAAAAGGAUGUUUUGUGUGUCCUGGAUUAUCAAGGUUCAGCCAAGAUUUAAUUCUUUGUGUAAAAACAAAUGGGUAUAAAAAUGAGCAUGCCUGUCUUGUUGACAUGUAAAUUUACGUUCAUCUUUAAAGCAAAGGAUGCUAAAGGAUGACUUUGAAACAAUUUUUGUUUGUAUACCUAAUUUGUUUUUCCUAUUUAUUUUAUCUAUUUAUUUUAGAUGCUUAUAUAUCCAGAGCCAUGUAAAAAUUUCUUAGGUAGAAAAGGGUCAUAAAUGGAAAAAACAUGAAGAAGCCUUGAGUUAUGGAUUUUGUUUAGUAGAAAUACUUUAAGUGAAUUUUGGCAUAUCAGGAAGAGUAUUUUCCAGAACAACAUGAAUCCCUGCUAUUAAUUGGACUUAUUUGUUACAUAUUUAACUGAUAAAAAUUAAAUGCCUUUCAAAGAAACACAAUGAUUAUAUAAGAAAGAGAGGCUUCGUGUUGAGCACAAUAGCUUAGCUUCAGGCAAUUUGUUGUAGCAACUGGAAUGGACUAAGGUGGGGUCAUUAAUACCUCAAAAGAUGUUAUCACAGAUUUAUAUUUCUGAAACACAUUACUCAAUAAACGUCAUUAUUGUUGUUAUUGCUAUUAUUAUUUGAAGUGUUAAGAAGCAGUGCUGGGGGGACUUACCUACCGUGAAAGAGGAUUUGAAUCUGAUCCUUAGGACUGCAAAAUAAGGAGACCUUGGCUAAACCUAAUUAUAAAUGUCUUUAAUUACAGGAAUUCAAAUAAAUGUUCCAGGACAUACAGUAACUAUUUUUUUUAAAGCUUUGAAGAUCAUUUCCAUGCAGCUGAAGACAUAGAAUGUGCUCAACAAAUAUUUGCUUGUUGUUCAAUUAACUUUUAUCCUUUCUUCAGAAAGAGUGGUUAAGGUUCCAUUUAGUUCACUUUGACGUAAAUAGCAUUUCGGCUGUGUCACAAAAGUCCUAUCUAGAAUGACUCCUCCAUGGAGAACCAUUUUGUGUGGAUUUUAUUUUAUUUUUAAGCAGAACUGUUUUCUUUUUGUUUUGUUUUGGUGCUGGGGUUUGAACUCAGGCUUCACAUAUGCUAAACAUGUGUACUGUGAUGACCAUAAGCAGGUGUACUGUGAUGACGAUAAACACGUGUACUGUGAUGACCGUAAUCAGGUGUACUAUAGUGACCAAUGGCCCCAGCUUGAGCAGUAUUAUCAUGUAUUACUCAUGAUGUUCAUGCAGAGUGACCAGCUCUCAAACUGCAAACAAUGUCAACAUAUAAUGAUGUUGAAGUAACAUCAGAGGGAAGUGAUCUGCUAUUGACUAGUGAUGUCUGACCUCAUCUACUAAAGGAGUGGCUCAGAUAAAUUUUUUUCAAAAGUUUUCUUGCAUUUAUUUGUGUGUGUGUGUGUGUGUGUGUGUGUGUGAAAGAGAGAGCUCUGUGUGUGUGUGUGUACAUGUGUGCACAUGUGUGAGCACAUAUAUGUGGAAGUCAAAGGAUAACUUUUAGAAAAUUGUUCUUUUCUUCCAACAUAGUGGGUUUCUGGGACUCGAACUCAGAUCACCACAUUUGGUGGCAAGCUCCUCCACUCAUUGAAGCCAUUUUACUGCUUUCUGAUACAGAACUUAUUUUCUAUCCUCUCUACUGCUCUGAGAAGCAACAGUGGUCUCAAAGGCUCUUCUUAAAGUGAGGAAGAAAAAUCAUAAAAUCUUUACUGAAUCUGCCCCUGGUAAGUUCCCAAGCAAAGCAGAGAAAGCAGAAAAUAUAUGUUUAAUAUCUUUUUCAUGAAACUAUUUAAAACUGCUAAGAAGAUACCAAGAUGGGGAUGAGGAGUUUUGGAUUCGUGUGACUGGAGGAAAGAGAGGCUCAGCAAGGAGAAUAAAAGGGGGGAGGAGUCUGUGGAAGAACAAAACACAAAGCAGGAAAAUGAUAUCGCUAUGUGCUCUCGAUAUCUGGUUCUUAAUACACAAAAGCAACUCUUCCUGGAACCCUGAUAGAAAGAUUCCAGUAGGCAGGUCAGCCAAGGGGCAGCAGGGAGCCUUCUACUUAACAUUCUGGCUGCCUGGGCUGAAGGCAGGUGGGGCACAUUUGCUUUCAAGCCCAGUUUUGGCUACCACAUAUAGAAAAAGGAUUUCUGUAUUUCCAGAGAGGAGCUACUAUCCACAAGAGGACAAAAUCUAUCUAGCUGUUGCUGUUGUGAAAUAAAUGUGUAGAAAUAGCAUAGCCAAGAGUGAUGAAUAAAGGCUGUGCUCUUUUUUUUUAGCUAAUAAAGCACUUUCGGUAUGUGUGUGCUUGCACGUGCACGCACACGCAAGCAGGCCAGAAGACACUGUGGCUGUCAUUCCUUAGGUGUUCUCUAUCUUGAGUUUCAAGACAGGAUCUCUCACUGGCCUUGAUCUAGUCAUGUAGAUUAAAUGACAGCCAGGGAGCGGCGGGGACACACUCAUCUCUGCAUCCCCAGUGCUGGCAUUACAAGAUUACAAGUGUGCACUACCACAUCUGGGUAUUUCUCCCCCCCAAACACACACCACAUGCACUCACACAUACACACUUACUCACACACACCACACUCACACACACACUCACACACACUCACUCACUCACACACACCACACACACACACUCACACACACAGUCACACACACCACACUCACACACACAUACACUAAGGCAUUCACACAUACACACACAUACACUAAGGCAUUCACACACACACAAACACACACACGAUCUUCAUGCUGGUAAGGCAAGCCCCUUGCCAGCUGAGUACCUCUCUGUCAGGGUUCCAGGAAGAGCUGCUUUUGUUUUUUAAGAACCAGAUAUUAAGAGCACAUAGUGACACUGUUUUCCCGAUUUGUUUUUUGUGUUUUUAGCGUUACCCCCUAGUAGUGAUACAUCUUCAAAUGACCACAUAGCUGAAAAACCAGUUCCUUGGCUGACAGGUGAAUUCGCUGAGACCAACACGGAGCUGUUUAAGAAUCCUACACUUGGGGCUGGAGAGAUGGCUCAGUGGUUAAGAGCACUGACUGCUCUUCCAGAGGUCCUGAGUUCAAUUCCCAGCAACCACAUGGUGGCUCACAAGAAUCCUACAUUUACAUGUCUUAUUUCAUUGAAUUUAUUUAAAAGAAUAUCCAUGGCACUGUUGUGUUUUAUAAGAAAGAGAGAGAGAGAGAGAGAGAGAGAGAGAGAGAGAGAGAGAGAGAAAGAACAGGGAUAUGUUUGGUGGAAGUGCGGUGUGGUGUGGGGAGGGAAUGCCUCUGCAGGUCCAUGCUGAGGCAUCCCUUCCCUCUGAGGUACCAGUCACACAGUGAGCAUAAUACAGAACAGAGUUUACUUAGGGUAAUGGAAGGGAGGGGGGGGGAGAGAGAGAGAGAGAGAGAGAGAGAGAGAGAGAGAGGAAUUUCAAUUGAGAAAAUGACUUCAUAAGAGCAUUUUUGUAAUUGGUGACUGAUGUAGAAGGGGCCAGCCUACUGUGGGUGGUGUCAUCCCUGGGCUGGUAGUCCUGGGUUCUAUAAGAAAGCAGCCCAAGCAAGCCAUGAUGAGCAAGUCAAUAAGCAGCACCCCUCCAUGGCCUCUGCUUUGGCUCCUGUCUCCAAUUUCCUGCCCAGUUGGAGUUCCUGUCCUGGAUUUUUAUGGAACACUUCACAAAUUUGCCUGUCAUCCUUGCACAGGGGCCAUGCUAAUCUUCUCUUUAUUGUUCUGAUUUUUAGUAUAUGUGCUGUCAAAGUGAGCAGUGUCCUGGCUUGUUAAAAUAAUGAGCAAUGAUGUAGAAGUUUUCAAAUAAACACUUUCCUUCCAAAGUUGCUUUGGUCAUGGUGUUUCCAGCAAUAGUGACCCUAACUAAGGCAACCGGUGAUGCCUUAAUGCACAGAAUGCUUUGUUUUUGACUUUUUUGUUUUGUUUUGUUUUUUCUUUUUAUUGAUCCUUUAUUUGUUUUCAUUUUCCAUUUGUGGUUUGUGUGUGUGCGUGCUUCUUGGUUUUGUUUCUUGCUUUUAUUUAAUUUUAUUUUGAGAGAGAAUUUGAAGUUUGGUCGAUAGGAAGAUGGGAAGGAUCCGGGAAGUGUUGGAAGAUGAGAAAGCAUGAUCAAAAUCUAUUGUAUGAUUUCUUUUCAAUUUAAAAAUAAAAUUAAAAGAAAGGAAGAAUAAAGAAACUGAAAUUAGACCAUGGAGCAUGUUGAUUUUCAUGGCCCAUGCCUUGUCUACACUGGCUUGAAACUCAGCCUUCCUUUCGUUCCUGUAGAGUGCUUAGAUGUACAGCAGACUCUUGAAGAUUUAAGAGACAACACACACACACACACACACACACACACACACACACUAGAAGAGGCCUGAUCAAUACAGAUCCUGGAAGACAGAACUUUGUCCUCAGUUGUGGCUUCAAGGGUCAGGGAACCCUCUAUUUCAUCAUCUGUAACCAGUCUUUAGAAGAUGGGCAAGAUUGCAAAGGAUAACAUUAGGUGUUCAUCUGGGCCAUGCCUAAAAGUGGCACACACAACACUUCAUCCUUUUGUCCAUUAGCAAGUCAUGUGACAACACCUAACUAUAUAGAAUUCUGGGAAAUGUAGUCCAAUUUUGAAUCCAGGAAGAAAAUAAAAGGGUUUUGUGAUUUAAGUCUGGCACAGAAUUGGCUCUGUAGCAACAGAAGAACUUCAGGUUUGACACCGCAUCUAGUUUUGGGGAACCCCUUAACACUACUAGUAACAUUAGAUGCCAUAUCCAUACUCUCACCAACUUGCCCUCUUUUUCUCUUUCUUCUUUCUUGUCUUAGAUGUGAAUCAAAAUUUUAUUUUUCUACUAAUCAACCAAUUAAUUAAUUAAUUUUAUAUCCAGAUCAGUGCUUCCCCUCCCUUCUCUCCUCCCAGUCCCUCCCUCUCAU